AACGAACGCUGGCGGCAUGCCUAACACAUGCAAGUCGAACGAGACCUUCGGGUCUAGUGGCGCACGGGUGCGUAACGCGUGGGAACCUGCCCUUAGGUUCGGAAUAACUCCCCGAAAGGGGUGCUAAUACCGGAUAAUGUCUUCGGACCAAAGAUUUAUCGCCCUUGGAUGGGCCCGCGUUGGAUUAGCUAGUUGGUAGGGUAAAAGCCUACCAAGGCGACGAUCCAUAGCUGGUCUGAGAGGAUGAUCAGCCACACUGGGACUGAGACACGGCCCAGACUCCUACGGGAGGCAGCAGUGGGGAAUAUUGGACAAUGGGCGAAAGCCUGAUCCAGCAAUGCCGCGUGAGUGAUGAAGGCCUUAGGGUUGUAAAGCUCUUUUACCCAGGAUGAUAAUGACGGUACCGGGAGAAUAAGCUCCGGCUAACUCCGUG
rnacentral:rRNA from 1 species